CGGGUGAGUAACACGUGGGUAAUCUGCCCUUAGGUCUGGAAUAACCCGGGGAAACUCGAGCUAAUACCGGAUAAUGCCCCGUAAGGAGACUUACGGGGAAAAAGCGGGGGACCUCUUCGGAGGCCUCGCGCCAGAGGAUGAGCCCGCGGUCCAUCAGCUUGUUGGUGGGGUAAUGGCCCACCAAGGCUAAGACGGAUAGCUGGUCUGAGAGGAUGAUCAGCCACACUGGAACUGAGACACGGUCCAG
rnacentral:rRNA from 1 species